rnacentral:rRNA from 1 species
AUGAUUGAAAAAACUAUUAUUAUCACCAGGUGGAACCCGAACAUGUCGGCGGCGCUGCCGGACGGCGAGGUCUUCUACCUGGUGGCGCUGCUGCAGUUCUGCCGGCCCUACCCGGGCGGCGGCCCCGCGGUGAUGGAGCUGGUGGCGCAGAACGGCGCCGUCGUCGACGCCUGCCGGAGCAACGGCUACGACUUCAAGAUCUACUUCCGGCGCUACCACACCGAGGCGGACUGGGCGCGCCACUUCGGCGCUAAGUGGGCCCGUUUCGUCGAGCGCAAGGCCCGCUACGACACGCUGGCGAUCCUCGCGCCGGGCCAGAAGAUCUUCGCCAGGACACCUUCGUCGUCACGGGUGGAUCGAUCGUAG